rnacentral:tRNA from 1 species
GCGCCUGCUUUGCACGCAGGAGGUCAGCGGUUCGAUCCCGCUAGGCUCCACCA